rnacentral:rRNA from 1 species
AUUGAACGCUGGCGGCAGGCCUAACACAUGCAAGUCGAGCGGCAGCGGGAAAGUAGCUUGCUACUUUUGCCGGCGAGCGGCGGACGGGUGAGUAAUGCCUGGGAAAUUGCCCAGUCGAGGGGGAUAACAGUUGGAAACGACUGCUAAUACCGCAUACGCCCUACGGGGGAAAGCAGGGGACCUUCGGGCCUUGCGCGAUUGGAUAUGGACAGGUGGGAUUAGCUAGUUGGUGAGGUAAUGGCUCACCAAGGCGACGAUCCCUAGCUAGGCUGAGAGGAUGAUCAGCCACACUGGAACUGAGACACGGUCCAGACUCCUACGGGAGGCAGCAGUGGGGAAUAUUGCACAAUGGGGGAAACCCUGAUGCAGCCAUGCCGCGUGUGUGAAGAAGGCCUUCGGGUUGUAAAGCACUUUCAGCGAGGAGGAAAGGUUGAUGCCUAAUACGUAUCAACUGUGACGUUACUCGCAGAAGAAGCACCGGCUAACUCCGUGCCAGCCGCCGCCGUAAGAC